AUGCAGUCUUGCCGACCAACUUCUCACCUGAAUCAGAGAGUUUGGAGGAGCAUUAUGGCGUACAAGAAGUUGAGUGACUUAAGAACAAGGGGGGGAAACUGGAACAUACAAGUGAAAGUAAUGAUUAUGUGGGAAUCGAUCAAUCCUACAACCGAUGAACUAAUCAGCCUAGAUAUGAUUUUGAUGGAUGAAGAGGGCCAAACAAUUCAUGCUUUUACCUGGAAGAACCUAAUAGACACUUUUAGAUCAAAAAUUAAAGAGCAGUCUAUUUACGCUUUCAACAAUUUGAAGGUUGUGGAAUCUAUGAAGUGUCGUCCAACGAGCAAUGAAAAUAAAAUAUUUUUUGCAUACAACACAAAGGUAAAGGAGGUUAAAGGAUCUGCAGAGGUUUUCCCAGAUUUUUACUUCAGUUUCACAACCAAGGAGACACUACAAGAACGGGCAGAAAAAGAUAUACAAUGCGCAGAUGUUGUUGGAUUGCUCACGCAGAUGAAGCCUGUGGAAAAAGACUUAUUUUUUGAUUCAAGCUCAAUGAUAGUAACAUCAGCUUUGGCACACAAAAUUAGUUAA
rnacentral:rRNA from 1 species